rnacentral:lncRNA from 1 species
UAGGCCUUCUCCUCUCUCUUCCCAGAGAUUCUUCCUCUCUUUCCCUUUCACCCAGACUUCUCCACCCACGGGUGCUGCCAGCCCCGCUGUGAUGCCGUUACUAACCAAGGAGCCUUGUUUAAAUGCUAGUUACUUCAGGGGGAAAGCCCACCAGCUGAAAGGGAAAAAAACCAGAGAGGAAAUAUUCCGCUGAUCUAAUGCUUUCCCACAGCCUGCAGCACCAUCACAGCUCCUGAGCACCGCUCUUCAGAAAGCCUCCUCGAGCAUUGUUCAAGGGAUCACCGACAUUUUCUGGAUGUGACAAUGUAGUGAACUUAGAGGUCAGCAGUCACACCAUUUCUGUCUAACAGCUCAGGGCGAGUGUGGCCAUCCUUUUGGGAUGUCAGCAGUACUUCCGAAUCAGGGUGGCUAUGUUCUAGAGACAGUUCAUCAACGCAAACAAGAGCAAAGGGCCCACACUGUGCUGUUCCUCUUAAGGCUGCUUUCUGAAGGGCUGUGCGUGGAAGUAUGUGUGAGGAUACACACAACAGCAAGGAUAAAGACGAUCUUCAGGUUGACAGAUUCAUUCUGUGUCAAGAUCCUUUAAAUAUGACAUUUUAAAUGGGUGGUGAUUCGGGAGGAACACAGGGCUUAGUGGCCUUGGAAGAAUGCAAAACCCUCGGUAAACAGAAAUAUGUUAAUGAGGGAAAAUUGCAUGAGAUAUAAACACCCACAGCACGGAUCUCAGAGAUGAAGAUGAACACCGGAGCAGAGGGAACUUUGGAAUGACUGACUGCCUUCUUUCUCAUCCACUAUAAAGUGUCAAAGACAAAGUGGAUAUUUUAGGAUAUUGAUCCUGCAUCUUCCCAGACUGCUGCCUCUGAAUGAAACACAACUUAGAGA